rnacentral:rRNA from 1 species
GAUGAACGCUGGCGGCGUGCUUAACACAUGCAAGUCGAGCGAAAGCAGGCGGCACUUGCCUGUCUGAUGUCAGAGGCGGAAGUGAGAGUAACACGUGGACACCCUACUUAUAAAAAAGUGAUAACUACGGGAAAUCAUAGCUCAUACCGGCUAAUAUUUUGAACGGCGUGGUUCAAAGGUGAGCGCCGGUCUUGCUGUCACUUAUAGAUGGAUCCGCGCUGCAUUAGCUAGUUGGUCAGGUAACGGCUUACCAAGGCAACGAUGCGUAGCAGACCUGAGAGGAUGACCAGCCACACUGGAACUGAGACACGGUCCAGACUCCUACGGGAGGCAGCAGUAGGGAAUCUUCCGCAAUGGGCGAAAGCCUGACCCAGCAACGCCGCGUGAAGGAAGAAGGUCUUCGGAUCGUAAAACUCUGUUAUUAGGGAAGAACAUGUUUUUGAGAAACUGUGCACAUCAUGACGGUACCGAAACAAAAAGCCACGGCUAACUACGUG